rnacentral:rRNA from 1 species
AGAGUUUGAUCAUGGCUCAGGAUGAACGCUAGCUACAGGCUUAACACGUGCAAGUCGAGGGGAAACGACAUCGAAAGCUUGCUUUUGAUGGGCGUCGACCGGCGCACGGGUGAGUAACGCGUAUCCAACCUGCCCAUCACUUGGGGAUAACCUUGCGAAAGUAAGACUAAUACCCAAUGACGUCUCUAGAAGACAUCUGAAAGAGAUUAAAGAUUUAUCGGUGAUGGAUGGGGAUGCGUCUGAUUAGCUUGUUGGCGGGGUAACGGCCACCAAGGCGACGAUCAGUAGGGUUCUGAGAGAAGGUCCCCANAUUGGAACUGAGACACGGUCCAAACGUCCUACGGGAGGCAA